rnacentral:tRNA from 1 species
UAUAUUUAGGUGUAUGAGGCACAUAAGGUUUUGAUUCUUAAAGAUAUAGUUUAAUUCUGUGAAAUAUAA